UACGUAGGGUGCAAGCGUUGCCCGGAAUUAUUGGGCGUAAAGAGCUCGUAGGCGGUUCGUCGCGUCGGCUGUGAAAACCCGGAGCUCAACUCCGGGCCUGCAGUCGAUACGGGCGGACUUGAGUGUUGCAGGGGAGACUGGAAUUCCUGGUGUAGCGGUGAAAUGCGCAGAUAUCAGGAGGAACACCGGUGGCGAAGGCGGGUCUCUGGGCAACUACUGACGCUGAGGAGCGAAAGCGUGGGGAGCGAACAGG
rnacentral:rRNA from 1 species